UAUACGAAUUUGGGCGGUUAUUUAUUCGGCAUCAUUUGUGGCGAAAUUUAUCAGAAAUAUUGUCAUAAUGUUGAGUUUGGCAAGCAAAUAUCUCGUAUACCCGUGCAGAUAUUUGAAUUUGCAUUUUGGAUGAGUAUAUCAAUUGGUGUAUGGAUAUGUUGGCUGGGAUCUGUGGUCAUAUUCCAAGAGCCAUCGAUAUGGACAGCACUAUAUGCAGGUUUAAAUCGUAAUAUGUUUCUUUUGAUAGUUUUUGGUGGAUUUGUUCUAUUGGGCAUGUUUUGUAAAUCAUUAACACUUUUAGACUUUCUGAGCCAUCAAGCAUUUCGUAUAUUCGCCAGAUUAUCAUUUCAAAUAUAUAUAUGGCAUUUUUCCGUUUUGUAUUUACUAAAUGGUCAUAAACGUGAACCAGUUUUUACCAAUCAUUUGCAACAUGCAACACUUAUGAUUUGCCUGCUUUUAUUCUCAACUGUAUUGGCGUUCAUUAUCACCAUAUUUGUGGAAUAUCCCUUUCACAAAAUUGCUUCUUAUUACUAUAAACAGGUAA